rnacentral:rRNA from 1 species
UACGGAGGGUGCAAGCGUUAUCCGGAUUCACUGGGUUUAAAGGGUGCGUAGGUGGGAAUGUAAGUCAGUGGUGAAAUCUCCGUGCUUAACAUGGAAACUGCCAUUGAUACUAUGUUUCUUGAAUUUUUCUGGAGGUCAGCGGAAUAUGUCAUGUAGCGGUGAAAUGCAUAGAUAUGACCCGGAACACCGAUUGCGAAGGCAGCCCACUAAGCAACGAUUGACGCUGAGGCACGAAAGCGUGGGGAUCAAAACAGG